rnacentral:rRNA from 1 species
AACGCGAAGAACCUUACCCAGGCUUGACAUCCUGCUAAGGACUCCGAAAGGAGACUGUGCCUUCGGGAAGGCAGUGACAGGUGUUGCAUGGCCGUCGUCAGCUCGUGUCGUGAGAUGUUUGGUUAAGUCCAUCAACGAGCGCAACCCUUAUAGUUAGUUGAAUUUCUCUAGCUAGACUGCCCUGGUAACAGGGAGGAAGGAGGGGAUGAUGUCAGGUCAGUAUUACCCUUACGCCUGGGGCUACAAACACGCUACAAUGGCCAGUACAAAGGGCAGCCAACCCGCGAGGGGGAGCAAAUCCCAUCAAAACUGGUCCCAGUUCGGAUAGUAGGCUGAAACUCGCCUGCUUGAAGUCGGAAUCGCUAGUAAUGGUAGGUCAGCACACUACCGUGAAUACGUUCCCGGGUCUUGUACACACCG